rnacentral:rRNA from 1 species
UACGGGGGGGGCAAGCGUUGUUCGGAAUUACUGGGCGUAAAGGGCUCGUAGGCGGCUAACUAAGUCGGACGUGAAAUCCCUCAGCUUAACUGGGGAACUGCGUCCGAUACUGGAUGGCUUGGAUUUGGGAGAGGGAUGCGGAAUUCCAGGUGUAGCGGUGAAAUGCGUUGAUAUCAGAAGGAACGCCGGUGGCGAAAGCGACGGACUGGACCUCUUCUGACGCUGAGGCGCGAAAGCCAGGGGAGCAAACGGG